UCCUUGGCGGUCCAGUGGUUAAGACUCUACACUUGCAGUGCAGGGGCACAGGUUCCAUCCCUGGUCAGGGAA
rnacentral:tRNA from 1 species